rnacentral:rRNA from 1 species
UCGGCAKCUUAMCRUGCGAGUCGAGCGAKGARGCCCRGCKUGCUGGGUGGAUUAGUGGSGAASGGGUGAGUAACRCGUGAGUARCCUGCCCUUGACUCUGGGAUAAGCCUGGGRAACKGGGUSUAAUACUGGAUAUGACUUCUSACCGCAUGGUGGGGGGUGGARAGAUKKAUUGGUCUUGGAUGGRCUCGCGGCCURUCAGCUUGUUGGUGAGGUAAUGGCUCACCAAGGCGACKACGGGUAGCCGGCCUGAGAGGGUGACCGGCCACACUGGGACUGAGACACGGCCCAGAMUCCUACGGGAGGCAGCAGUGGGGAAUAUUGCACAAUGGGCGCAAGCCUGAUGCAGCGACGCCGCGUGAGGGAUGACGGCCUUCGGGUUGUAAACCUCUUUCAGUAGGGAAGAAGCGAAAGUGACGGUACCUGCAGAAGAAGCGCCGGCUAACUACGUGCCAGCAGCCGCGGUAAUACGUAGGGCGCGAGCGUUAUCCGGAAUUAUUGGGCGUAAAGAGCUCGUAGGCGGUUUGUCGCGUCUGCCGUGAAAGUCCGGGGCUUAACCCCGGAUCUGCGGUGGGUACGGGCAGACUAGAGUGCAGUAGGGGAGACUGGAAUUCCUGGUGUAGCGGUGAAAUGCGCAGAUAUCAGGAGGAACACCGAUGGCGAAGGCAGGUCUCUGGGCUGUAACUGACGCUGAGGAGCGAAAGCAUGGGGAGCGAACAGGAUUAGAUACCCUGGUAGUCCAUGCCGUAAACGUUGGGCACUAGGUGUGGGGGACAUUCCACGUUUUCCGCGCCGUAGCUAACGCAUUAAGUGCCCCGCCUGGGGAGUACGGCCGCAAGGCUAAAACUCAAAGGAAUUGACGGGGGCCCGCACAAGCGGCGGAGCAUGCGGAUUAAUUCGAUGCAACGCGAAGAACCUUACCAAGGCUUGACAUGUUCCUGACCGCCGUAGAGAUACGGUUUCCCCUUUGGGGGCAGGUUCACAGGUGGUGCAUGGAUUGUCGUCAGCUCGUGUCGUGAGAUGUGGGUUAGUCCCGCACGAGCGCAACCUUCGAUCAUGUUGCCAGCACGUACUGGUGGGGUACUCAUGGGGAGACUKGCCGGGAUCAACCUCGGAAGGCA